GUGGGGAAUCUUCCGCAAUGGACGAAAGUCUGACGGAGCGACGCCGCGUGAGUGAAGAAGGCCUUCGGGUCGUAAAGCUCUGUCAUCAGGGACGAACGGCCGGUGGAGUGGAAAGCCACCGGAUUGACGGUACCUGAGAAGGAAGCCACGGCUAACUACGUGCCAGCAGCCGCGGUAAUACGUAGGUGGCAAGCGUUGUCCGGAAUUAUUGGGCGUAAAGCGCGCGCAGGUGGGAUCUUAAGUCCAUUUUGAAAGUUCGGAGCUCAACUCCGUGAUGGGAUGGAAACUGGGAUUCUUGAGUACCGGAGAGGAAAGCGGAAUUCCCCGUGUAGCGGUGAAAUGCGUAGAUAUGGGGAGGAACACCAGUGGCGAAGGCGGCUUUCUGGACGGUGUCUGACACUGAGGCGCGAAAGCCAGGGGAGCGAACGGGAUUAGAAACCCUUGUAGUCC
rnacentral:rRNA from 1 species